GAUGAACGCUGGCGGCGUGCUUAACACAUGCAAGUCGAACGAAGCACUUUAAACUGAUUCUUCGGAUGAAGUUUUUUGUGACUUAGUGGCGGACGGGUGAGUAGCGCGUGAGUAACCUGCCUUACACAGGGGGAUAACAGUUAGAAAUGACUGCUAAUACCGCAUAAGCGCACAGGACCGCAUGGUCUGGUGUGAAAAGUUUUUCGGUGUAAGAUGGACUCGCGUCUGAUUAGCUAGUUGGUGAGGUAAUGGCUCACCAAGGCGACGAUCAGUAGCCGACUUGAGAGAGUGAUCGGCCACAUUGGGACUGAGACACGGCCCAAACUCCUACGGGAGGCAGCAGUGGGGAAUAUUGCACAAUGGGGGAAACCCUGAUGCAGCGACGCCGCGUGAGCGAUGAAGUAUUUCGGUAUGUAAAGCUCUAUCAGCAAGGAAGAUAAUGACGGUACUUGACUAAGAAGCCCCGGCUAACUACGUGCCAGCCGCCGCCGUAAAAC
rnacentral:rRNA from 1 species